CAGAGUUGCAAGACUCCCUAAACCAUUGUGAACCUACCUUCUACCGUUGCUUCGGCGGGCGGGCCCAGCGCCCCCCCGGCCCCCCGCGGGCGCCCGCCGGAGGAUACCCAAACUCUUGACAUUAGUGGCCUCUCUGAAUAUUCUUUACUGAAUAAGUCA
rnacentral:misc_RNA from 1 species